AACCGCAGCGACAGAUCCGCGCUGUAUUUUAGGAUCGCCCCCCCCCCCACGGCAGAAGAACACAUGGUGCCGGGGGAGAUCCCGAUCCUUAAGAAACUCACACGAGAGGGAGAGAGCAAGGAAAAAAAAAGCCUAAAUCCAUCUUUGAGGGCAGGGGGGGAGCUCUGCUGCCACUGCUCCGAAGGGGGAGCGUGGGUUUAGCCUCCCAAAGAAACCGGCCUGCCAAAGAGGAGGUUGUUUUUGGUUUUUUUUUUUUUUUAAGGUUCCCCCCACCUUAUUCUCCGCUAAGUUUGAGGUGGGUGAUUGCAUUGAAGUUGGCCACAACCGUGCAGAAAUGCAAAGCGGUGGGACAAUCUCGCGGGUGGCCACAGAGGGGCACUCUCCCGAGGCUUUGCAAGCUGCUGCGGUGGCGCCUUAUCUCUCCAGGCAGAGGGUUUGGAUAAAGUUAUACUGAAAACUUUAAAAUUGAUCUCACACCCUAAUUUGUGAUACACAAGACGGAAGGGAGAGGGAAAAAAAAAGCCCAUCCUCAGAGGGCUCUGUUUACACCAUGAGAAGGGGAGAUCUGGGCUGCCUUGUGGGCUUGCCCAACAUUCAACUGGGGAUUUCUUGCUGCCUUAGCUCUUGCCGGAGGUCACGCAAAUCGACCUUAAAAGAAUGCAUAAGCCAUAAAUUAAAAUAAACCCUUAGCCAGGGGCUGAUCCAUAAGUAGACAAUACCUAACCUGGACAAAACGGCUUCCUUUGCGAGCUGAAAAAAAAAGAAUAGUGCCUAAACUAAAUGCAAAGUCAGUUUCAUGAAUUCAAAGGCAACUCACCAGUGAUUUCUGGGUGCUGGGGCUGAGUUUCUUGUGUAUUUGGGUUUUCAGCUAUUCAUUGUAACAUAGACUUGCCUAUGAAAUCGCUAAAAAAAUCAGUGACAGUGGUUCCUUGUGAUUUGGGAAGGUGUCAGAGGUGUUAUGCCAUCAAGUUCUGAAGUGCUGGCUGGUGUGGUAGGAGAAAGCAGGACAGAAGAGUGGAAGAACAGUCAUUAUAUAAGAAUGUCUUCCAAGCAGGCCACCUCUCCAUUUGCCUGUGCAGCUGAUGGAGAGGAAGCAAUGACCCAGGACUUAGCAUCACGAGACAAAGAAGAGGGAAACAAUGAUCAGCAUGCGACCUCUCAUCUGCCUCUGCACACCAUAAUGCACAACAAGCCUCACUCUGAGGAACUACCGACUCUAGUCACCACCAUCCAACAAGAUGCUGAGUGGGACAGUGUUAUCUCAGCCCAGCAUA